AUCCUUUGGUUCAUGAGCGUGAUGAUUGGGUGUUCAUGCCUUAUUCAUGAGAUGUGCCUCCCUCUAAACCUUUUUAUGACGUGGGCACAUUAUCUGUCUGACU